UCAUUCUGUACAAUAUAAUAUAUGAAAGAGGUAGAAGUUUCACUUACAUGAAACACUGUCAUCCUCAAUGGCGAACAUCGAUGUUCCCGAAUAAGACACCCGUCUUAUUGCCUUUUCAGUACCAAUCUGGCUAACAUUACAAGAUAGAGUAUUCAAUUCAUUCAUGAAAUCCCAACCCCUUCAUCACGAAUGACAUAUAUGACAGUCUAUAAUGACGUUCACUUGAUUAUGCGAUUUAAUCAUUAAAUUGAUUUAUACUAAUAAUAAUUUCAAGGCGUCAUUCAGUAUAGAUGAUGCAUAUCAAUUAGGAAAUGAUGUUCCAUAAAUCUUUCUGACUUGGACAUGGCUAAAAAAUCAAUCGAUAAUAUAAGAAAGUUCAUAAAAAGCAAUCAGGCGAUUGAAAGCAAUUGAGAAUCAAAACAAACCGUCACUUUCGAAUAGAUGGGGAGUUUAUGAAUCAUUCUUCUCCGUAACUUUCUUUCUUUAACAAAGUCAUAUUUUGAAAUGUAGCUUUAUUGAUGAAAUCGGAAUUCUGAAAACCAGCCGUGUUGUUCUUUAAUAUGACGUUCUUGCAGCCGACAAUCGAGUAUUGUCCACUUUCAUUUUGAAAUGUGUCUAUUUCACAGAUAAAGUAUUCUGGGUUGGCCUUGACGUAAAACAAAAUAUAACAUCCUUGAAGCAAACACUUAGCUAGUACUUCAAGUUGAGUUCGAAUCAUUGAUGUUUGUGACGUUCUAGUCGGUAAUCAUGAGUAAUUACCAACCCACCAAUUGCGGUGUAUUUAGUUGGGAAGGAAAAACGAGUUUCUGCCCUUAUAUCUCAGAACGAUGGACAUCCGAACCAAGUUCCUAGUCAGAUUCUGCGAGAUCUUAUGGCAACCGCUGAAAUUCCUGAUCUUGAUGAUGUACAACUAUGACGUAUGUACUUAUGUGAUUUCUUUUAUUCAGAUUCUUUUUUAUUCUAUUGUAGUUUUCAGAUGUGAAGUUGUAAACUUUUCAUAAUAUACAACCGUAAGACUGUAUUGUAGUAGUGGUUUUGUAUCCUGAUUGAGGAAAAUUAUGAAAUCAUUUUGAAAAAACGUUAA